AGGUUUCAUCAUCAACCAUCCCUAGGAAGACAUUAGGAACACAGAGCAUUAGCCUCCCAUCCAUUGUGUCCAACUGGGAACACAUUUGAUAAAGUUAAUUCAUGUAUCAAGACCCACAAGAUGAAGGCUGCCCCAGGAGCCUGUCGCAUGUCACCAAGCUAAAUUUUGGAGGUCAAGAAAAAGAAGAUCAGAACUACAGCGGUCUCAUGUAGCUGGCCAAGCACUGGAGAUCAGGGAUAUGAAGGUGCCCUGGACUUCAGAGGUCAAUACA